AUACGGAGGGUCCAAGCGUUAUCCGGAAUCAUUGGGUUUAAAGGGUGCGCAGGCGGUUUAUUAAGUCAGUGGUGAAAUCUCGAGGCUCAACCUCGAAACUGCCAUUGAUACUGAUAAACUUGAGUUCAGUUGGAGUAGGCGGAAUGUGUAGUGUAGCGGUGAAAUGCUUAGAUAUUACACAGAACACCGAUAGCGAAGGCAGCUUACUAAACUGAUACUGACGCUGAGGCACGAAAGCGUGGGGAGCGAACAGGAUUAGAAACCCGAGUAGUCC
rnacentral:rRNA from 1 species